rnacentral:rRNA from 1 species
AUUGAACGCUGGCGGCAUGCUUUACACAUGCAAGUCGAACGGUAACAGGCCUUCGGGUGCUGACGAGUGGCGAACGGGUGAGUAAUGCAUCGGAACGUGCCCAAUCGUGGGGGAUAACGUAGCGAAAGUUACGCUAAUACCGCAUAAGCCCUGAGGGGGAAAGCAGGGGAUCGCAAGACCUUGCGCGAAUGGAGCGGCCGAUGUCAGAUUAGCUAGUUGGUGGGGUAAAGGCCUACCAAGGCGACGAUCUGUAGCGGGUCUGAGAGGAUGAUCCGCCACACUGGGACUGAGACACGGCCCAGACUCCUACGGGAGGCAGCAGUGGGGAAUUUUUGGACAAUGGGCGCAAGCCUGAUCCAGCCAUGCCGCGUGCGGGACGAAGGCCUCGGUU